CGCCGGUCCCGGUGUCGCCGCGAAAGAUAACACAAAACGACUCUCGACAACGGAUAUCUCGGCUCUCGCAUCGAUGAAGAACGUAGCUAAAUGCGAUACUUGGUGUGAAUUGCAGAAUCCCGUGAACCAUCGAGUCUUUGAACGCAAGUUGCGCCCGAAGCCAUUAGGCCGAGGGCACGUCUGCCUGGGCGUCACGCAUCGCGUCGCUCCCCCCGAGCAUACAU
rnacentral:rRNA from 1 species